GCCAGGCAUGGGGGCACAUGCUUGUAAUCCCAGCAGCUCAGGAGGCUGAGGCAGGAGGAUCACAAGUUUAAAGCCAGCCUCAGUAAAUAAGGCAACUCAAUGAGUCCCUGUCUCUA
rnacentral:sRNA from 1 species